rnacentral:rRNA from 1 species
GACGAACCGUGCGAACGUUGUUCGGAAUCACUGGGCUUAAAGGGCGCGUAGGCGGGUCGGCCAGUCUGUGGUGAAAUCCCCCGGCUUAACCGGGGAACGGCCGCGGAUACUGCCGACCUCGAGGGGGGUAGGGGCGUGCGGAACACUAGGUGGAGCGGUGAAAUGCGUUGAUAUCUAGUGGAACUCCGGUGGCGAAAGCGGCGCGCUGGACCCCUUCUGACGCUGAGGCGCGAAAGCGUGGGUAGCAAACAGG